rnacentral:sRNA from 2 species
AUUUUUACCUUGCUGAAUUUCCAAAAGGAAAACGGGGGAACCACUUCUUGGGGUGAAUCGCCAAAAUGGCGUAGAGCAGUUUUCAGCUCGAACCCGACAGCUAACCUCGUAAGCGUUGAAACACGUUAGC